AAAAAAAGCAAAUAGAAAACACGGGACACUGCCUCUCUCCCUCCCUCAAUCAAUCCAAGCUGAGAUUUUCAAGGCCUCUGCACUCUUUUUAAAUAAUUCCCAGAUGACUGAAUUCCCAGACUCAAGCAAAUGCUCCUGAACACAGGAGCAACUCGACCCUGGGGUCUCAAGUCCCCACUUUCCCCAAGAAAUGAGAUUGAGCUCCUCCUCCUUGCAGGAUAGGGCAGGGUAGCGGAAGAGCAAGGGCGGCUGGGGAGCAGGGGCAGUGGGGGAGGAGGGGCAGUCGGCUCCACUUGAAGCUGUGUGGCCUUGAACAAGGGAGUCCACCCCAGAGAUGGUGAGAGGGAGACUGUCUCGCCUGCCUCUCAGGGCUGGUCUGGAGUGGGAGCUGCAAUCGGAAUGUACAUGGGGCCUCAUGCACACGGCUUCUCUCCAGUCACAGAGACCCCUGCCUGAAGGAUCACUCAGGGUCCCGCUAGAGGUAGAAACCACCCCAGCUCUUUGAACAGAAAGACUGUACCAUCAAGAAUUGCUAACCUUUGUACAUUGCAAAGGCAAAAAGUGAAAACUGAGCUAGCACAAUAGAUCAGCAAGUGACAGGGGAGGGCUGGGAGCAAAGAGGCCAGUGGGCGUGGCGGCACGCGCCUGUAGUGCCAGCCACUGGGGAGGCUGAGGCAGAGAAUUGCUUGCACCUGGAAGGCGGAGGUUGCAGUGGGCUGGGAUUGCGCUACUGAACUCCAGCCUGGGCAGCAGAGCAAGACUUCGUCUCAAAAACCAAACAAAAACAAAAACAGAAUGAUUAAACUUCCAGGACUGAAAGACCCCUGGAAGCGGUACCCAGGUCCGCAAGGACUGGGCACAGGCUGGCCGCAGCUGGUCUGCCCCAGAGAAGGGGAGAAACGAAGGAGCAGGCUCUGCAGCUUCCUUCUGCUCUUCCUCCUGAAUGGGCUCGGUCUCCAGCUCCAGGGCCUUGGCUGGGCCUCGUCCCCUCUGCGAUCCCGUAGGAGAGGCAGCCUCUCCCACGGCCCUCGUGAUUUCUGCCACUUGGCCACUGGCUUCUCCUAAGCAGAAUCCAGCGAAGGUCACGGGCUGUUACUUCCAAGGCUAUUCGGCUACAAAAUGCCUGUGCCUCCCACCUUCCCCGCCUUCUCUUGUUCUCUCCUCUUAAGAACCCCGCUCUGGGAAAACGCAGCCGCCCGGGACUGAGCACCCCGUGACCCGCGUCCGCCGCCAGCAGCUGGAGAAGACCUGGAGGCCCAGCAGUGGACGCCAGAGAGAGCCUCGAAGCAGAUUCUCCAGCCCCGGUGGAGCCUUGAAGCCUCCCGCCAUGACUGGAGGCUUGUUAGGAAACCUCAGAGAAUGUUCUGGAUCCUCUUCUGGCCUCCAUUCCAGACCUGCGUUCUCCGACAUGGCAGCGGUCACACCAGCCCUGUUAGGGGUCAAGGCAAUUGAGGCGAACAGGUGCUCCUCGAGUUACGUGGGGGUUGCAGCCAGGAUCCUUGUCUGAUCUUCAAAUCACCCGGGAGUGUGGUCUCUCGUGUGGCAUCUCCUUCCCCAAGGCUGUUUCCUAGAAGAGCCUGUUUCUUCUCCCCAUCACCGUGGAACUGCAAGGGUUCCUGGAACAGUGGCAGCUGGGGCUUCCUUCUGCCAUGCCGCCCAGAUGCAGCACUUCCAAGGAAGUAGAAAUUGGGGACCCCAGAGACUCUCAUGGAGCUUACCUCUUCCUGCCCAGGACCUCACCUCACAGCCCUGCCCUUCCUCUGCCUGGAACGAUCUUUUCCCGGCUAUUCCCAGGACUGGCUGCUUCUGGUCAUUGUGACUCGCAGGUGAGUAGGCCCUGGAGCCCCUUUCCCGGCACCUUCCAUUUUCGUCCCGGACGCUCACUGUCUUUGUAACUGUCUCUUUGGGGAUGUUUUGCAUAUUGUGUGGCUUUUUUCCCUGAAGGCAUGGCCCAGCUCUGUGCAGUUUCAUCAGUGAGUCCCAGAGCCCAGCACGGCACCUGCCCCUUUGAAGGAGUGUCCUGCGAGUACGUGAAUGAGUGAUGCAGUUUUAGCCUCAACUUCUUUACAAUGAGGCUGUGAAACUCCCAUUACAUCUUCGGCAUUUCCUGUAGUAUCACUUUCCUCUUGUAAUAAAUGUGGGCAAAAGUAUCUGCCCCCACCCAGGACUGCACAGGAAAGAGAGCAAUUUUUUUUCUUUCUUUCAGACAGGGUCUGGCUCUGUCACCCAGGCUGGAGUGCAGUGGCACAAUCUCCACUCACUGCAACCUCCUCUUCCCAGGUUCAAGUGAUUCUCCUGCCUCAGCCUCCUACUGAGUAGCAAGGAUUAUAGGCAUGUGCCACCACGCCGGGCUAGUUUUUGUAUUUUUUGGUAGACACGGGGUUUCGCCAUAUUGGCCAAGCUGGGAGACACAGUGAUUCUUUGCUGCGUUGCUAUACAGCUCUGGAUGGUUGUUAGACCUUUGGAAAGCCUUUGUUUUCUCUGAAUUGGGACUGUCUGUCAUUGUAGACUUUUCCUCUACAGACUGGCACACCCAUUUGUGCCCUGCCCCACACUGGGGGCCUGUCAGAGAAGAGAGGCUGGAGCCCAGUGCGGGUUACCAGCUUCAUUGAUUGCCAAGCGCUGUGCCCGGGAACGAUGCACUGUUCCUGGCCACGCCUCCAGGGGACACUGCCUUCAAGUCCACUCACAGGUAGGGCAGCCCUGCCUGCAGGCCCCUUUCCACCCAACCAGCAAACACCACACUGUCUUCAUGUCUCCUGUGGCUUUUCAGCAGGUUGGAUUUUCUCCUUAGGAUGUCUGGAAAAGGGAGUCAGGUUUCUCCCCUCGCUACUUUCUCCUCUCUGGAUCAGGCUGCCAGUCUGUAAACGAUGUUUUCGAUUUUUCUUUGUUGUUGUUUUGGUGCUGUGAAGCCUGCCUCGUUAAUACCAGGUGCUGAAAGAUUAAAACUUAUCAUCAGUCACCAUCAUGAAAGCAAGGAGGGGUAGGAUGGUUUCAACUAGUCCCAAAUUUCCUGGAGGAAUUUGGCCUGUUGUCAAUUCCCCCGUCCCGAGGCUGGCUGGUAUUACCAGCAGAACAAAGUCCUCUCUAGCUGCCCACUCUCGGGGUUUACUAAGUUAAACAUCUCUUAUCUUGGGCUCUGUGCUAAGCACAAGAAGGGAACAACAUUUCUUGACUGAUAAUGUAUUAGUUGUUUCUUGCAAUUUGACUGUGGGACUCUAAGAAUAGUGUGUUUUUCUGGAAGCAGAGUUUUAACAACCUAGAAAGCUUAAUUAAGCUUUCCUGCUGCAUUGUUUAAAUUGAAUUAGUAGCAGAAGAGUAUUUUUAGAAGUGAAAUGAUUAUUUCAUGUAACAGAUACAUGUCUGAAUAUUCUUAAACCUCUAUAUAGGCCAAAACAUAGCUAAAGAAUUGACUUCACAAGUCUAAAAGUCUGAGCGGCUGCUUUUACACAUGUCAUCACCAUCCUAUUUAUUCUAUUCAAUUUAUACCUUAAAUUCUUUUUUCCUAACUACAAGGUGGGCUGGGGUUGGGAGGAGAACUUUUUAAAAGCACUUUACAAAUGUGAUAGGCCUGUAGUGAUUUUUCAGCUCUUCUGCUUUUGCUGGUCUGGGUGGGCUCCCUUCCCAGAUUUCAGUCUUGUUUGGAAUUCUUUUCUUUUAUUCAGAGGAACCAGGAUAUCACUUGGUGGUGACUGCUUUGUGUAUUACUUUGGUUAGUAAAAGUAUCUGAUACGGUUUGGCUGUGUCCUCACCCAAAUCUAAUCUUGAAUUGUAAUGCCCACAAUUCCCACAUCGUGGGAAGAACCCAGUGGGAGGUGACUGAAUCAUGGGGAUGGGUCUUUCCCAUGCUAUUCUUGUGAUAGUGAAUACAUCUCACGAGAUCCAAUUAUACAAGGGGCAGUUUCCCGCACAAGCUCUCUUUUCUUGUCUGCCACCAUGUGAGACAUGCCUUUUACCUUUUGCCAUGAUUGUGAGGCCUCCCCAGCCACAUGGAACCAUAGGUCCAAUAAACCUUUCUUUUGUAAAUUGCCCAGUUUCAGGUAUAUCUUGAUCAGCAGCAUGAAAAUGGACUAAUACAGUACCAUGGAAAAGUUUCGUUAAGAGGAAGUGGCAGGAUAAAAUAGAAAGUGGCCAUUUAACUCAUACUUUGAAGUGUGCAUCUUUUCAGAAACUCAGGUGAGCAAAGUGAGGAACCAGACAGCAUAUUUUCAAAUGAAUGAAUACUUGAGUUAAAAUGGACCUUUAAGGCCCUCGUGAAAAACAUGACAUGAAAAUGGUCCAAAUGAAACUCAGAUUUUUCUGGAAGGCUCUUUUUAUAUAAGCAGAAUAAAGAUUGUGUUAAUACUGGUAAUGCGGAAAAUGCAGUUUGCAAAUUAUGGCCACCACAACUCCUGAAGAUGACUAAAAUAUUGAUAUAAAAAUAAUGGGAACCAGCCAGGUACAGUGGCUCAUGCUUGUAAUUCUAGCACUUUGGGAGGCUGAGACAGGCAGAUCAUCUGAGGUCAGGAGUUCGAGACUAGCCUGGUCAACAUGGUAAAACCCCAUCUCUACUAAAAAAAAAAAAAAUACAAAGAAUUAACCAGAUGUGGUGGUAUACACCUGUAAUCUCAGCUACUCAGGAGGCUGAGGCAGGAGAAUCACUUGAACCUGGGAGGCGAAGGUUACAAUGAGCUGAGCUUGAGCCACUACACUCCAGCCUGGGCAACAAAGCUAGACUCUGUCUAAAAUGCAAUAAAAUAAAAUAAAUAAGGAACCAUCUAAUAGAAGCAGAGGAAGUGAUCUCAAGUAGGAAUCAUCGACAUCUGCUUGCUAUAGGUUUGCAAAGGGGCUGAGAGGGCUUCUUGGAGAAACUUGAGGGUGAGUUUGGGUGAGGCAUGAUGAAUUCCAUAUAAGGAAUUUUCCACAUCCUCUGAGAUAGGUUUGCCAAUUCAGAUACAUCAGUGAGAUCUGUGCAAAGAUAUGGGACUGGGCAAGACUGUCCCAGAGGAAAGUGGCGUGUGAAGACAACUCCUUGAGGUGGCCACAGGCAUGGGCAAAAAUCAAGUUAUUUCUUGCUUUCUUUUGAUAUUCAUGAUAUCAGAUGAUUCUUCUCUUUAAUCUCACUUUUUCAUGUUUACCUUUAGCAUGACUUUCAGUGUUUCUCCAUGUCUCUUCCUCUGCCAAACACUGCCAAUCCAGGAACCUUCUGUAAACAAUCAUGCACCAUUUCUUCUGCAUUUGUAUAGGGUGUGUUUAGUGACCUGCAAAACUCUGGGCUUCUCUUCAUCUUCAGUACUCACUUAGCUUAGCUUUCUACAGGGUAAACAGAGGUGGACUCAUUUUUAGUUCAAGUUUUCUAAAUACCGAGCCUACAUCUUUCUUCAGAAGAGCCAUCACCACACCCAUGAGACACGGUGCAGGCUAUUCCUACACUCAGCCUGUUAGCAAUCUCAGAGGCUGCUGCAGGUCAGAGAGAGGUACCAGCAAGUUGUAGGACGGUGACCAAUAUUAUAACAUUUCUUUCUCUCUCUUUUUUUUUGGCAACACAGUUUCACUCCGUCGCUUUGUUACCCAGACUGAAGUGCAAUGAUGUGAUUUCAGCUCACUGCAACCUCCACCUGCUGGGGUCAAGCAGUUCUGCUUCAGCUUCCUAAGUAGUUGGGAAUACAGGCAUGCACCAUUAUGCCCAGUAAAUUUUUGUAUUUUUAGUAGAGAUGGGGUUUCACUAUAUUGGUCAGGCUGGUCUCAAACUCUUUACCUCAUGUGAACCACCCACCUCAGCCUCCCAAAGUGUUGGAAUUACAGGCGUGAGCCCCGUAACCUUUCUUUCCUUAGAUCUGGAUUUUCCUUCAGAGUGAACAUAGGCACUGGUAAAAUUAUGCUCCUUUGUAACUAAUUCCUUGUUCCUAAAGUGGUGGUAUUUCAUCACCUCCCUCCACCCCUACUACCCUCUUCUUUUCUCUUUUCUCCAAUCUCUUUACUCUUCACACUUUCUAAGUCAGCAGAGUUCCUCAGCCACAAAAACUCCCCAAAGGGUGUGGCUUGCUCUUCUGCAGUGGACACAUGGACCCCUGCUGCCACCCUCAUCUUCCUGAUGCCAUUUUCUCAGUAUUCACACAGCUCUUUCUGUGAGCUGUUCAUUUUAACUAAAGCUAGAUCCCAUAGCUUAUUUUUGUAGUGACCCCAGAUCAACAUGCCAACUAUUAAUAUUUUGGCCAUGAAUCUGAUGCAAAUCAAUGCUUCUAAUCCAAUAGUAAGCAAAAGCUUAACUGAUCAAACUCCAGCUUGUUUUGUUGUUGCUGCUCUUACAUAAAAGGUCAAAUGAAGAUGGUUCAGGGAAACCUUCUAGUGAAGACUGCGUGGCCAUGGCGCAUCUGACAGUCACACAAAUAAAAAUACACUUGAAAUUAAAUCCUAUUUCAAGCCUUGUCAUAAAUGAAUCUUACAUUAAAUAAAAAGAUAACAUUUCCCAGACCAGCAAUGAUGGCUCACACCAGCAAAUUGGGAGGCCGAGGCGGGCGGAUCACCUGAGGUCAGGAGUUCAAGACCAGCCUGGCCAACAUGGUGAACCCCUGUCUCUACUAAAAGUACAAAAAUUAGCCAGGCAUGGUGGUGGGUGCCUAUAAUUUCAGCUGCUUGGGAGGCUGAGGCAGGAGAAUCGCUUCAACCCAGGAGGUGGAGGUUGCAGUGAGCCGAGCAUACCACUGCAUUGCAGACUAAGCAACAAAAUGAGACUAAAAAAAAAAAAAAGACAAAAAAAAGAUAACAUUUUCCAAGAUUGCUCUGGUUGAAAAGAGCUGAACUGAUCAUGUGUGUUGAUAAAAGUAGUAGCAAUUUAGUACUUGCUUGUAAAAGAAUUAAUCUUCCAUCUGCCUGCUCAAAUAAAGUGUUACUACAUAGAGGAAGAAACGAAAAGAAAUUGAUAUUUUCAAAUACAAUAGAAAGAAAAAGACCUAGGCUUUAAAAUAUAUUAAAUAUAAAUACAAAUGAUAUUGGUAGACAUGUAAUACUUUUUUUUUUUUUUGAGAUGGAGCCUCGCUCUGUUACCCAGGCUGGAGUGCAGUGACGUGAUCUCAGCUCACUGGAACCUCCACCUCCUGGGUUCAAGCGAUUCUCCUGCUUCAGCUUCUUGAGUAGCUGGAACUACAGACACCUGCCACCAUGCCCAGCUAAUUUUUUUAUUUGAGGAGGUUUCACCAUGUUGGCCAGGCUGGUCUCAAACUCCUGAUCUCAGGUGACCUGCCUGCCUCAGCCUCCCAAAGUGCUGGGAUUAUAGGCAUGAGCCACUGCAUCUGGCCAGCAGACACGUAAUACUAUGCAGUGAUUGUGUACAUAUGUAUGUUAUUACAGAUUUUCAUAUAUUAGAUUAAGACAGCAGGUGACAAAACUGCAUAGAAAGUUGCCCUUUAAAUCAGACCACAUCUGUAUGUGCAGGAUUUGUACAAAAGAAUGAAAAGAUUGGAAAGUAUUCAUCAAAAGAUAGGGGGAUGAAUGAAAUUUCAAGGCUUGUCUUCACACUUUUCUUUAGUCUGCAGUAUUACUUUGGUGAUUAGAAAAAGGCUGCUCUAAUGAAUUAGAAACUAAAAAACUAUUACAUGGAAAGAGAAUUCCUGCAAGGAGUCUGGGAUUAAAUUGCACUCCUGUACUAAACACAGAAAGACCAGGUCUUCCUUUUUAGGGUAGUCAGUCCUAUAAUUCCAGGACUUUGGGAGGACAAGGCCAGGAGUUUGAGACCAGCCUGGCCAACAUGGUGAAACCCUGUCUCUACUAAAAAUACAAAAAUUAGCUGGGUGUGGUGGUGUGCACCUGUAGUCUUGGCUACUCAGAAGGCUGAGGCAGGAGAAUCACUUGAACCCGGGAGGUGGAAGUUGCAGUGAGCCAAGAUUGCAUCACUGUACGCUAGCGUGGGAGACAGAGAGACUCCAUCUCAAUUAAAAAAAGAGAGAGAGAAAGAUUAUAUAGUCAAUAUACAGGACUCAACAGUAAUAGCUCCAAACACAAUUGACCUAUAUUCUUUCAAAUAGCAAGAUCAAAUUAAUAUUAUAGCUGGAUUUUCUAUUUUUCUCUUAAAAUUCUUUGCUCAAUUAAAUAAAGAAUGCAUAGCCAAAGAAAGCAAGAUAUAAUGACUUUUUAAUAUACAGUUUAAAAUCCCUAUCAUUUAUUUAAAAUCUAGACAUAGCUUUGAGCUAGUGAAUUAGACUGCAUACCAUCAAAGUGUGUAAUUCUUCAGUCAAUAAAUCUAACAGUGCAGGUCAGUCAGUGCCAGGAACCAGCAAGUUGUAGGAUGAUGUUUGGUAGAUAAUUCCUUCCAAAGGUAGACAGGACCUUUGGUAGAUAAUUCCUUCCUGUACAUUUUUGUUCUAGAGAACGAAUGGUACCAAAACAGUGUUGGAAACUGAGGAAAAAAGCAAAUAUGGCCUCCAAAUGCUUUACAGAGGAGUACUUCAUAGUACUUUACAGAAUUUUCCACUUAUGUUCAAACACGUUAAUUUCAUGGUGUUUUACUUUCGGCAGGUUUCAGUCCUUGAGAAGCGCUCACUAGGAUGGUAAUUGAUCAAUAAAUUAAGUGAGUUGGAAGACUCCAAGUGAAAAUUUAAGAUUACUGCAGUUUUGGCCUGAUGCUGAUGUUAACCAGAGGGAACAGAAUCUGAAACCAGAUGAGCUGUUAGUACUGCUUUCAUCUGUUUCAUAGCCACAGCAACAGCAGUUCCUUGGCUUCUGGAAAGAGUGUUGGUCUAUGCAAACAAUUUACUAACAAAUAUGUAAAGUAAGUUGCAUCACUAGCUUCGAUUUUUAAAAUUGAGAUAUUAUAUACCAUACACUGAACUUUACCUCAAUUCAGUGCUUUUCAGUACAUUCAUAAGGCUGUGCAACCAACACUAGUAUCUAAUUCCAGACCAUUUACAUUGUCUCCCAAGGAAACUCCAUCCCCAUUAGCACUUAGUACCCAUUUUCCUCUCCCCUCAACUCCUGGCCACCAUCUACUUUCUGUCUCUAUGGAUUUCUUAUUCUGGACUUUGCAUAUUAAUGGAAUCUUUUGUGGCUGGCUCCUUUCAUUUUCAUGUGAUAAUGUUUUCAAAGUUCAUCCACAUUGUGGCAUGUCACUAAUCCAUUCCUCUUUAUGGCUGAAUAAUAUUCCUUCAUAUGGCUAUGCUAGAUUUGAUUCAUCCAUUCAUCCAUUGACGGGCACUUUUUGGUUAUUAUGAACAUUCAUGCACUAGUUUUUGUGUGGAUGUGUUUUCAGUUUUCUUAAGUACCUAGGAAUUGCUGGUCAUGUGGUAACUAUGUUUAACCUUUUGAGGCACUGCCAGACUGAGCCAGAGUGCAUAGUUAACACAUUCCCACCAGCAAUGUAUUAAAGUUUCAAUUCAUCCAUUCUUGUCAAGGCUUAUUAUUCUCCACCUAUUUGUUUAUAGCCAUCUUAGUGUGUGUGAAAUUUUAUCUCAUGGUUUUGAUUUGCAUUUUCCUAAUGACUAAUGAUGUGGAGCAUCUUUUCAUGUGCUUUUGGACAUUGUAUAGCUCCUUUGGAAAAAUGUUUAUUCAAAAUCCUUUGACCAUUUUUCUUAGAAAUUUUUUUGAGUUGUAAGGAUUCUUUAUAUAUUCUAAAUACUAGACCCUUAUCAGAUACAUAAUUUGGAAAAAAUUUUUCCCGUUCUGUGAGUUGUUUUCACUUUCUUGAUAGUGUCUUUGAGUACAUGUUUUAAAUUUUAACGAAAUACAAUCUGUCUGCUUUUUUGUUUGCUUGUGCUUUUGGUGUUAGUCGAAUGCUUAGUCCAGUGUCAUAAAGGUUCACAUCUACAUUUUCUUCUAAGACUUGAUUUUCAUUUUACAUUUAGGUCUGUCAUCCGUGUGGAGCAAGUUUUGCACGCGGUACGAAAUAGUUCAAUUUCAUUGUUUCAUAUGGCUGUCUCACGGCAACAUUUGUUAAAAACAUUAUACAUUCAUCUUCAUUGAGUUGUCUUGGCACCCUUGUCAAAAAUAAAUUGACCAUAGUGUAAUGGUUGAUUUCUGAAAUCUCAAUUCCAUUCCAUUGAUCAUGUGUUUAUCCUUAUGCCAGCAUCACAGUCUUAAUUAUGUAGCUUUGUAGUAAGUUUUGAAAUGGGAAGUGCAAUUCUUAUAAUCUUUUAAAGAUUAGUUUGUUAUUCUGGGUCCCUUGCAUUUCCAUAUUACUUUAGGAUCAGCUUGUCCAUUUCUGCAAAGAGUGCAGAGGUAUUUUGAUACAAAUUGUUUAUCAAUUUGGGGAGUAUUGACAUCUUAGCAAUAUUUUCUCCCAAUCUGUGAACACAAAAUUUCUUUAUACUCAAAUUAUCUGUUUUUUAAUGAUGUUAAAUCCAAGUAUUUUAUUCUUUGUGAUGCUGUUGUGAAUGGAAUUCUUUCGUGUGUUGUUCAUUGCUAAUGUAUAAAAAUCAAUGACCGUUGUGUAUUAACCUUGUAUCCUGCAACCUCAUUGAACUUAUUAGUGCCAGUAGUUUUUCGGUGUGAAUCCCUUAAUAUUUUCUACAUACAAGAUCAUGUCAUCUGCAGACUAUUUUACUUCAUCUUGCCUACUGUCUUGGCUAGAACCUCCAGUACAAGGUUGAAUAGAAGUGAUGAGAGAGAACAUCCUU